UACGUAGGGGGCAAGCGUUGUCCGGAUUUAUUGGGCGUAAAGCGCGUGUAGGCGGCCAGGUAGGUCCGCUGUGAAAACUCGAGGCUCAACCUCGAGACGCCGAUGGAAACCAUGUGGCUAGAGUCCGGAAGAGGAGAGUGGAAUUCCUGGUGUAGCGGUGAAAUGCGCAGAUAUCAGGAGGAACACCAAUGGCGAAGGCAGCACUCUGGGACGUGACUGACGCUGAGACGCGAAAGCGUGGGGAGCGAACAGG
rnacentral:rRNA from 1 species